UGGCAUUUGACCUCCCUGAUACAAGAUAUUUUGAGAUCUCUGCUGGAGAGGCUCAAAAAAAAUUCCCUGAGAUUCAAGAAUUCUUUAGCCCUGAGUUGGGGGGUGAGUUGAAUUCCCAAGCUGUUGUUCUAGAUGAGGAUUGCCAUGCAGUAUUGGUGAAACAAGAAAAGUUAUUGGAAGAAGACAUUCCAUAUGGUGCUGCUGUACUGGAAUUAACAGAAGAUAAACUUUAUGAAAAUAAAGGAAUGAGCGUACGCGUUUACAACAUACUAUGGGGAAGUAGAGGAUCUUG